UGCUUCAGCAGUAUAUGUACAGUACUAAAAUUGUAACAAUACAGAGGAUUAGCAUUGUUCCCUGUGCAAGAAUGUCACAUGACUCCGUGUAGUGUUCCAUAUCUCU